rnacentral:lncRNA from 1 species
AAUACACCCAGGAGACCUGACCCCCUGCACUCUUUCUUAACCUGCAAAUUACAUUUUCCUUAAAAACAAAUAAAUGACCCUAAAAAUCCCUCAGAAGCUUUAGUUACAGAAAGAACAGCAAGAAACACAGCCUUAGUGACAUCACAAAACCCCAUACUUGGGCUGGAACUGUUAGAAAUGUUCAAGUGCAUGUGGGGAAGUAAAACUGUAACCAUGUGGCUUUGGGAAGUCAUAGCAUGCCCAGCCUAUUACUUGCUUCAGUAGCUGGGUGCAACUAGAUCAGCAUUCAUAAAAACAACAAGCUGGCUGAGAAACAAGGAUACUUGAAUUCCUACUUCUUGGAACCUAUGCAGGAACUUCUGUCAACCUACUACAAGAUCCACUUACCCCCAGCUGAGUUUCCUUCUUCUGUUGCUACCCUGCAAGACAGCUCCGACUGAAAGUAUGGCAGUUUGCUGGAAAAAGCAGAAGUAUGAGGCCCCUCUGAGUCAGCAAAGGCAACUCCGUUGUAAAAGCAAUACAGAGGAGUGACAGCUUGCUUACAAGAGUGUUCCCACCUUACUUUUGGCAGAGCUACACUAACAUCAGAAACCGUGAGAAUUUGGAAGAAGGGAAAAACUAUGCAAAUACUACCAAGUGGUAACUAAUUCUUGUUUUGGGAAUAUGUUGAGUGUCUGGUCCUAAAACUGGGAUUCACAAAGGAGUGAGGAGGCAGAAAACACCUACGUGUCUAAAGAAGCUGACAAGUACUCAUUGAGUUUCUCAGAGAUAUCUGAGCAAUUUGGAUCUGUAACUCCCCUGGAUUUAAACAUGAAUCUAAAUGCACGUAAAACACCUUUCACAACUUCAUCAGGCU